rnacentral:rRNA from 1 species
UACAGAGGGGGCAAGCGUUAUUCGGAAUUAUUGGGCGUAAAGGGCGCGUAGGCGGCCUGGCAAGUGGAAGGUGAAAUCCCUCGGCUUAACCGAGGAACUGCCUCCCAAACUGCUUGGCUUGAGACCGGUAGAGGUGAGUGGAAUUCCCAGUGUAGCGGUGAAAUGCGUAGAUAUUGGGAGGAACACCAGUGGCGAAGGCGGCUCACUGGACCGGUACUGACGCUGAUGCGCGAAAGCGUGGGGAGCAAACGGG